UACGUAGGGACCAAGCGUUGUUCGGAUUUACUGGGCGUAAAGGGCGCGUAGGCGGCAAUUCAAGUCAUCUGUGAAAUCUCCGGGCUUAACCCGGAACGGUCAGGUGAUACUGUUUUGCUAGAGUGCGGAAGGGGCAAUCGGAAUUCUCGGUGUAGCGGUGAAAUGCGUAGAUAUCGAGAGGAACACCAGCGGCGAAGGCGGCGCUCUGGGCCGGAACUGACGCUGAGGAGCGAAAGCGUGGGUAGCAAACAGG
rnacentral:rRNA from 1 species